UACGUAGGGGGCUAGCGUUGUCCGGAAUCAUUGGGCGUAAAGAGCGUGUAGGCGGCCCGGUAAGUCCGCUGUGAAAGUCGGGGGGCUCAACCCUCGAAUGCCGGUGGAUACUGUCGGGCUAGAGUGCGGAAGAGGCGAGUGGAAUUCCUGGUGUAGCGGUGAAAUGCGGCAGAUAGUCAGGAGGAACACCGGUGGCGAAGGCGGGGUCUCUGGGCCGA
rnacentral:rRNA from 1 species